rnacentral:lncRNA from 12 species
AGGACUGUAAGGGACAGAGGCUGGCAGACAUGGUUGUACCCAGUCGAGGUUGGAUGCAGGGGCUUCCCAGCCCAGUCAGCCUGGAAGCUGAUGACAGACUUUGGUCUGAGGGGGACUGAGAGAAACAAGGCUGUGCUGACCUGCCAACAGGAGAGUGUUAUGGUUAAGGGUUGAAACACUUCAGGAUGGUUGGUAACCAUCUGAUGACACAACCUCCUGGCUAAAGGCUCCAGUCAUUGCAAAAUGACUGAAGGAGAAGCAUCCAAAGAUGUAUGUUACCACUUUUACUAAACACAUUUGAUUCAUGUCCUCAGCUCAUUAAUAAAGACUCCAAGAGCUGAAAUGGAUGUUUCAUAUUCAAAGUGUGCACUGUUGGAAAAACAACUACUCUGUGCACUAGAACUAGCACUAGAAUGCCACAAAAUAAAAUGACAUUAGACUUCCAUUAGUGGGGGCUUUUGAAAAUAGCAGUGUUGAGUUUCAGUGUAGUGUGGUGAAAUGCAACUAAAUGGUCAGUUGGUGAGAUUUGAGGAAGUUAACACCCACAGGAUGAGCUAAUGAUGUUUAAAUGAAGAGCUGUAAAUAUAGAAUGAAAAAAAAGACUGACAGAAACAAAAAAUCACUGAUAAGUGUCACAUGUGUCUGCUGGGACUGAUCAUUCUCACAGGGGCGUCGGACUGGGGGUAAAACCAGUACUGAUUACCAGGGCCCCAAAGGAAGAGAGGGCCCUUGAAAAGUCUGGAAUAUAUUUUAUUUUACCUGGAUAUUUUCAUUGGGGGGUCAUGGGGGCCCAUCAGGACUGCCUGUGCAUAGUGCCCGGGAUCUUGUGCAAUGCCCCGAUCAUAUCAUCGUAUUAUUUACUGCCAUGCGAGCCACAAAUGUAAAGCUUGGAAAAUUAUACUGGAACAACAGUCUGGGCUGUGAGAUGAGAACAGAGACACACUGAGCUUUAACCACUAACCAUCAACCACCUGCUGACUGACGAGAAAACAUCAUUAGCUUGCGAGGGACAAAGACAAACUGAAC